CCUACGGGUGGCUGCAGUGGGGAAUAUUGCACAAUGGGCGCAAGCCUGAUGCAGCCAUGCCGCGUGUGUGAAGAAGGCCUUCGGGUUGUAAAGCACUUUCAGCGGGGAGGAAGGCGGUGAGGUUAAUAACCUCAUCGAUUGACGUUACCCGCAGAAGAAGCACCGGCUAACUCCGUGCCAGCAGCCGCGGUAAUACGGAGGGUGCAAGCGUUAAUCGGAAUUACUGGGCGUAAAGCGCACGCAGGCGGUCUGUCAAGUCGGAUGUGAAAUCCCCGGGCUCAACCUGGGAACUGCAUUCGAAACUGGCAGGCUAGAGUCUUGUAGAGGGGGGUUGAAUUCCAGGUGUAGCGGUGAAAUGCGUAGAGAUCUGGAGGAAUACCGGUGGCGAAGGCGGCCCCCUGGACAAAGACUGACGCUCAGGUGCGAAAGCGUGGGGAGCAAACAGGAUUAGAUACCCCGGUAGUC
rnacentral:rRNA from 1 species